AAGACAAUAAAAUCGUGCAGCUCACCACUGAACUACACAUCAAAGGAGGCAAAACCUCGGUAUUCAUAGUAAUCAGAGAAAUCAGUGUAUGCAUGCUGCACCCAGCAUCGCCAGAAUGCAAGUGAGAGAAACACAGCCAAGGGCAAGGAUGUUGGAGCCACACUUUCAGGCCUUCACACCCCCCGUAACUGUGGGUUCUCACCCAGAUCCAAACUGAAGUACCUGCUGUUUCCUUCACAGAUGUGACCUUCAAAAGCACCACCUGGCCACCAACCAACAAGUGCACAUCUUUGUGUUGACAACACCAUUGAAUGUCAUCAAGUAAGAAGUGUGUGAAUGAUUUCCCAGGACACACCAGACAGUCAACUACUCAUGCAGAUAUUCAUCAAGCACGUAACACCUGCAAGGCCUGGGUACUGUGCAUGCCACUAAGAUGAGUAAGACCUUCUCUGAGACCUCACUUACCUGUUGAGGGCAUCAGAAAAGUACACAUGUGGAUAUGGACUGGGUACUCCUAAAAGAGGGUAACCAAGUCAGAAAAUAUUUAAAGUGGGAAAUUCAAGAAACAUAUGACCUCAAAGACUUUAUAAUUCUUGCUUCCACAACCAUCCAAAAGAAGUGAUCUCAAAUACCCUAAUCAUAUUAGAAGCCAACUGGGUGCUCCCCUCCAUCCUGUGGACCCAAUUUUCUGUUUUCCAUGAUCUUCUGGACAUUUCUAUCCAUCCUAAUGGUAGGAAUUGAAGCAGUUCUGAGAGCUUUUAUAGAUCAACCAUUGUUAGGAGGAGUAGAGAAUUUUCAUGUUCACAGCAAGAUCACAUGUUAAGUCUCUUUUUGAAGAUAUGGCCCCAUGUUAGAUUCACAGAUUUUCACCACCCACCAGUCUGGCAUGAGGUAUUUUCAAGCUGGGAGAGCAUAGCAAGAUGGCCUCCCACAGAGGAGCUUGGGGGUCCAGGGACAAUGAAGGGCCGUGGCUGGGAAAACAGUCAAGGUAUCUAUGCAACAAACAGCUAUAAUAGAUACUUGGGAAAAGAAACAAGGCCAAUCCUUCAACAAGGACUGGGAACAGUUAAAGACAUUUAGCCAGCUAUUCCAGAGCUUUAUGCAAAUCAACCUUCACAACUAGGAAGUAACUUCAAAAAAGAGCAAAGUAGUGGCAGGCAGUGGUUGCCACAGUGACUAAAGCAUGCUUUUGCCUUUUUGUCAGUUUUUUCUAAAUGAGAGGGUGGCGGGAAGAAGUUCUGUGAAGUCUAGCGGGAGCCCAGAGGAAGAGCUAAGCAGGGGCGUUUGAUCCUGAGAAGAAAAAGAGAGAACUGAUCCAAAAAGCAUGCCCCGAAGCUCGUGAUGAGGCAAGCUGCAAGUGAGCCUUUUUUGAAAAACAGGCUGAAGUGGCAGAAGCUUCCCAGCUCUGAGAAAUUUGGAUAUAGGUAAAAGCAUGGGGGCAGGAAGAAACUUAGCUAAGAGAUGGCAUUUGUGCAGAAUAAAAAAGAAGAAGAAAGAAAAGAAUGCAUUAAUUCAACAUACAGUGCAGGCAGAAGUUUGAACUAUAAUAAAGCAAACAUGAAGGAACUGCAGAUCUCUGAACUGCAAAGGUUUGCCAUUCUUCCAGAAUGUAAAAAGUGGUUCUGCUCUCAUCUGUAGGAUUUGUGAUGUGAUAUUAAAAGCUGAGUGUUGGUACAACAGGCCAGUCCGCCAAUAUUCCUGAACCAGCGCUCAGCUGGAGAGGGGAGGACCAAAUGGAGGGGAAAACCCUCAGGAUGUGGAAAUGCCAGAUGGUACUGCAAGAAUCAGGGGUGGAGGUGGACCUGGGUUUUCUUUUGGCCAUAAAAUAAA